GUGUGUGUGUGUGUGUGUGUUUUGUGAAAUAUUACGUAGUAAGAUUAAUUUUGAUGCGCCGUUCAAAAUUCAGAGUGGUGUGCAGGCUGAGGUUGAAACACCGUGAGGAGAUGGGAACUUAAACUCUCCUAGUUGUUGGUGUACAUUUUUUUUUUUUCUUUUCUUUCUUAACGUGUAAAGUGCUCCACCUAUGCCUGUGAACCAGAGUACUGCAGUGGUGCUUUGCCGUGCAGGUGCCACCAUCGGCCAGACGGACGGCAAGUAGAAAUGUACCGCCGAACAAAGAUGGUCCCAGCCGGCCACUUUCUCCGACGCCAAAGCCGAGGGGAUGAUGCCCUGCCACCAAACGAACCCGCUCUUCGUCGCCCACAUCAGACCAACAGGGGUAGACCUUGGUGGACCUUAAGAUCUUGGCCUGGCUUUUAACGUCUUCCAACACUCAAGAUCUUUUCUUCAGAGGACAGGAGACCUUACCAGAAUCUGACAGGCUGAUCCAUCUGUUAUCACCAUCUUCUAGGCACUAGAGGCUCUGGACACAGCCACAUCAGAACCCAGAACCCUAAGUAGUACAUAAUAGUCAGUGGAGAAGCCAACAUGGAAGAUGAAGGAAAAGGAGGAGUUUUGGAGUGAAGUGGAGGAUAAUAUACAGAGAAGAUAGAAGAGAAGAAAGGAUUGUUAUUGGAGCAGACUUCAAUGGACAUUUUGAAAAAGGAAAUGGUGAUGAGGAUGUAAUGGGCAAAAUGGUGAAGGAGAAAAAAAACCUGGAAGGGCAAAUGUGCAAAACGGAUGGAGGUGGUAGUAAUAUCUAUUUUAAGAAGAGACAAGAGCAGAGAGCAGAUUGGAAAAAACCUGGGAUAUUUUUGGUUUUAUUGGGUUCGUUUUUUGGGGGGGCAUUUAUUGAUUUUUU